UGUGGCAGAACAAGUGCAGUAAACUUAAGAUUUUCUAAUAAAUUUUAUUUCUUUAGAA
rnacentral:tRNA from 3 species